UGACAGUACUCCUACGGGGAGGCAGCAGUGGGGGGAAUAUUGCACAAUGGGCGCAAGCCUGAUGCAGCCAUGCCGCGUGUGUGAAGAAGGCCUUCGGGUUGUAAAGCACUUUCAGUCGUGAGGAAGGUAGUGUAGUUAAUAGCUGCAUUAUUUGACGUUAGCGACAGAAGAAGCACCGGCUAACUCCGUGCCAGCAGCCGCGGUAAUACGGAGGGUGCGAGCGUUAAUCGGAAUUACUGGGCGUAAAGCGCAUGCAGGUGGUUUGUUAAGUCAGAUGUGAAAGACCCGGGGCUCAACCUCGGAAUAGCAUUUGAAACUGGCAGACUAGAGUACUGUAGAGGGGGGUAGGAAUUUCAGGUGUAGCGGUGAAAUGCGUAGAGAUCUGAAGGAAUACCGGUGGCGAAGGCGGCCCCCUGGACAGAUACUGACACUCAGAUGCGAAAGCGUGGGGAGCAAACAGGAUUAGAUACCCUGGUAG
rnacentral:rRNA from 1 species